rnacentral:rRNA from 1 species
UUGCUUCUCUUGAGAGCGGCGGACGGGUGAGUAAUGCCUAGGAAUCUGCCUGGUAGUGGGGGAUAACGUCCGGAAACGGACGCUAAUACCGCAUACGUCCUACGGGAGAAAGCAGGGGACCUUCGGGCCUUGCGCUAUCAGAUGAGCCUAGGUCGGAUUAGCUAGUUGGUGGGGUAAUGGCUCACCAAGGCGACGAUCCGUAACUGGUCUGAGAGGAUGAUCAGUCACACUGGAACUGAGACACGGUCCAGACUCCUACGGGAGGCAGCAGUGGGGAAUAUUGGACAAUGGGCGAAAGCCUGAUCCAGCCAUGCCGCGUGUGUGAAGAAGGUCUUCGGAUUGUAAAGCACUUUAAGUUGGGAGGAAGGGCAGUAAAUUAAUACUUUGCUGUUUUGACGUUACCGACAGAAUAAGCACCGGCUAACUCUGUGCCAGCAGCCGCGGUAAUACAGAGGGUGCAAGCGUUAAUCGGAAUUACUGGGCGUAAAGCGCGCGUAGGUGGUUCGUUAAGUUGGAUGUGAAAUCCCCGGGCUCAACCUGGGAACUGCAUUCAAAACUGACGAGCUAGAGUAUGGUAGAGGGUGGUGGAAUUUCCUGUGUAGCGGUGAAAUGCGUAGAUAUAGGAAGGAACACCAGUGGCGAAGGCGACCACCUGGACUGAUACUGACACUGAGGUGCGAAAGCGUGGGGAGCAAACAGG